rnacentral:rRNA from 1 species
AUACAGAGGGUGCGAGCGUUAAUCGGAAUUACUGGGCGUAAAGCGCGCGUAGGCGGCUACUUAAGUCAGAUGUGAAAUCCCCGGGCUCAACCUGGGAACUGCAUCUGAUACUGGGUAGCUAGAGUUUAGGAGAGGGAAGUAGAAUUUCAGGUGUAGCGGUGAAAUUCAUAGAGAUCUGAAGGAAUACCAGUGGCGAAGGCGGCUUCCUGGCCUAAAACUGACGCUGAGGUGCGAAAGCGUGGGUAGCAAACGGGAUUAGAUACCCCAGUAGUCC